GAGCUUCCAAAACAGCUCCCUGUGUUUGGCUAGUCAAAAGCCAUCACAAAAAUGGGGCAAUUAAAGGAAGCGAUAUCCUGAACUGCCGGACCCGAC